rnacentral:tRNA from 2 species
UUAAAAGCGGUUUCUGAAAAUCGUAACUUUGGAAGUUAUAGGAUGACCUGCAAGGUCACUUUUAAA